rnacentral:rRNA from 1 species
CACGCCGUAAACGAUGUCAACUAGAUGUUGGGAGGGUCUACCUCUUAGUGUCGCAGCUAACGCGUUAAGUUGACCGCCUGGGGAGUACGGCCGCAAGGUUAAAACUCAAAGGAAUUGACGGGGGCCCGCACAAGCGGUGGAGCAUGUGGUUUAAUUCGAUGCAACGCGAAGAACCUUACCAUCCCUUGACAUCAUCCGAACUUUCUAGAGAUAGAUUGGUGCCUUCGGGAACGGAUAGACAG